GCGUAGAAGACCCCGGGGACGUAGCAGCCCAGGAUGCCGAUGGAGAUGCCCGUGUAGUCGAGCGCCGUCCAGCGGCGGCUGCUUUUCUCUGAGCGGUGGCAGCAGAACAGGGAGUCCCGCCCAGGAUGUUAGUCACGCUGCUGGGGAGCCAGCCUGGAGCCCCCGCCUGCGGGGGAGUCCUCUCUGGCUCUGCUGGAUCACGGAGCACGUCCAUCUGCUGCAGCCACCCCUGCUCGCCGGUCCGGCACCGCGUCCCUCGGCUGUUCCUGCUUGACUCAUCUGUUAACAGGUGGACGGAGAGGGUGGAAUAGGAGGCCUUGGCAGUCUGAGUCUGCGUGGGAACAGUCUUACCCGCGUCCGCAACUUCGGAAAAUUCGCGCCGGAAUAGUAGCCAUGAUGAAUUUAUUGCCGCCUUCUUGUUUUUUUUUCUUCCUUUCAAAAUUUCUUUCUCCCCUCAUCUCUUUUAUUUAUCGAAGUAUGUAUUUAUUUACCAGGCACCCUGAUAAAGUGUAAUUAAAUAAUUUAACCAAUUAUUAUUAAUAUAUAUAUAUAUAUAUUAAUUUUGGUUACUUUGAGCUCUAGCCAACAUGGCAAAGCCAACAUGGUACCUACUGUAAUGCUCCCACAUUAUAGACACAUUUUGAGGGUGGUGAUUCUCCUCAUACCAAAGAAAUGAAGAAUAAAAUAAUGCGGGUAGUCUGAGGGCCUUCGCUGCUCCAGAUUAUUUUACGAGUCUUGAAAGAGCGAACCGCGCACCACAUUAAAAGCGCUCCUCGCCGGACGGCUAACUGCUCCUCUCCUUAAAACUCGGAAGCACCCCAUCAAUUAUGUCCUAAGCAGCCAUACUGAAGAUAUCACUCGGAACAGUGUGAGGGGGACGAGGCUGUCAGGCCGAUGAUAGAUGUGCUGGGAUGGCGGUGGCCUGCCGCGGCGGGCUCUCCUGGGCACGCAGCUGCGGAGCGCUUAAUGCCGUACGCACGCGCGCGGACACACACGCGCGCACACACACACACACACAAACAUAUGCACGUGCAUGGGCACACAUAUGUACACGCACAGCAGGAGGAAGGAAUCUGCCACGGUGCUGGGUAAUGGCAGCCGACGUUAGUGUCUUACGGAGCAAGUAGGGAGUAUCCUUCUCUGAUAGCUCCUGUACGCCUCUACUAGUACAGAACUAACCGUGGGUUUCUCUAAAAGCAGCCUCUCUCUGUUUGUCAGAGGCCUAAUGUACACUGAAGGGAUGUUUCUUCACACUGUAGUUUU